rnacentral:rRNA from 1 species
AUUGAACGCUGGCGGCAUGCCUUACACAUGCAAGUCGAACGGUAACAGGUCUUCGGAUGCUGACGAGUGGCAAACGGGUGAGUAAUACAUCGGAACGUGCCUAGUAGUGGGGGAUAACUACUCGAAAGAGUGGCUAAUACCGCAUGAGAUCUACGGAUGAAAGCAGGGGAUCGCAAGACCUUGUGCUACUAGAGCGGCCGAUGGCAGAUUAGGUAGUUGGUGGGAUAAAAGCUUACCAAGCCGACGAUCUGUAGCUGGUCUGAGAGGACGAUCAGUCACACUGGGACUGAGACACGGCCCAGACUCCUACGGGAGGCAGCAGUGGGGAAUUUUGGACAAUGGGCGCAAGCCUGAUCCAGCAAUGCCGCGUGCAGGAUGAAGGCCUUCGGGUUGUAAACUGCUUUUGUACGGAACGAAAAGCCCUGGGUUAAUACCCUGGGGUCAUGACGGUACCGUAAGAAUAAGCACCGGCUAACUCUGUGCCAGCCGCCGCUGUAAUAC